GGUAACUUCUGGAGCCAGUUCCCAGCCUGCGCACACACAGAGCUGCCAAAAGGAAGGCACAGUUAAGAGCUCAGGGUCGACGUGGGAGUGGAC